AUCUGAUAAAGAGGUGUCAGUUAUUAAGGAUCAGCCUGAAGAGGGUGCCUUGAGGGAGGGAUGUGGGUACCACUUACCUGUUGUGCCAGAGGACUUUAAUUCGCAUCUCUCCCUCAUCCUGCCUUCACCAUUGGAACGGAACAAACAUUGAGGGCAGGGCUGUUGACUGGAACCAAAUGUGUUCGUGGAGAUGGGCUGGGGAUGCUACAGAGCCAAGAUAUGUUAUGAUUCUCUUUCAUGGUACUGAAUAGUGAACAGCAGCUCCCACUCAGCCUCACAAUCACAAGGGAAAAAUGGAUGCAGUAUCAGUCAUCCUUGAGGAUCAUUAGAGGACUGGCUCCUGGACCUUUUGGACUGAAUAUUUACUUUUGAACCAUCCUAAAUUAGAAAAUUGUAGGU